UCAUUCCAGCGGUGCGUUUCCACGUCCAGCUUCGUCUGUAAAUGCAUCACCUGGAAUGAGU
rnacentral:pre_miRNA from 1 species